rnacentral:rRNA from 1 species
CCCUGCACUCUGGGACAAGCCCUGGAAACGGGGUCUAAUACCGGAUACUGAUCAUCUUGGGCAUCCAAGGUGUUCGAAAGCUCCGGCGGUGCAGGAUGAGCCCGCGGCCUAUCAGCUUGUUGGUGAGGUAGUGGCUCACCAAGGCGACGACGGGUAGCCGGCCUGAGAGGGCGACCGGCCACACUGGGACUGAAACACGGCCCAGACUCCUACGGGAGGCAGCAGUGGGGAAUAUUGCACAAUGGGCGAAAGCCUGAUGCAGCGACGCCGCGUGAGGGAUGACGGCCUUCGGGUUNGUNAAACCUCUUUCANGCAGGGAAGAAGCGAAANGUGACGGUACCUGCAGAAGAAGCGCNGGCUAACUACGUGNCCAGCAGCCGCGGUAAUACGUAGGGCGCGANGCGUUGUCCNGGAAUUAUUGGGNCGUAAANGAGCUCGUNAGGCGGCUUGUCACGUCGGUUGUGAAANGCCCGGGGCUUAACCCCGGGUCUGCAGUCGAUACGGGCAGGCUAGAGUUCGGUAGGGGAGAUCGGAAUUCCUGGUGUAGCGGUGAAAUGCGCAGAUAUCAGGAGGAACACCGGUGGCGAAGGCGGAUCUCUGGGCCGAUACUGACGCUGAGGAGCGAAAGCGUGGGGAGCGAACAGGAUUAGAUACCCUGGUAGUCCACGCCGUAAACGGUGGGCACUAGGUGUGGGCAACAUUCCACGUUGUCCNGNUGCCGCAGCUAACGCAUUAAGUGCCCCGCCUGGGGAGUACGGCCGCAAGGCUAAAANCUCAAAGGAAUUGACNGGNGGGCCCGCACAAGCGGCGGAGCAUGUGGCUUAAUUCGACGCAACGCGAAGAACCUUACCAAGGCUUGACAUACACCGGAAAGCAUUAGAGAUAGUGCCCCCCUUGUGGUCGGUGUACAGGUGGUGCAUGGCUGUCGUCAGCUCGUGUCGUGAGAUGUUGGGUUAAGUCCCGCAACGAGCGCAACCCUUGUCCCGUGUUGCCAGCAGGCCCUUGUGGUGCUGGGGACUCACGGGAGACCGCCGGGGUCAACUCGGAGGAAGGUGGGGACGACGUCAAGUCAUCAUGCCCCUUAUGUCUUGGGCUGCACACGUGCUACAAUGGCCGGUACAAUGAGCUGCGAUACCGCGAGGUGGAGCGAAUCUCAAAAAGCCGGUCUCAGUUCGGAUUGGGGUCUGCAACUCGACCCCAUGAAGUCGGAGUCGCUAGUAAUCGCAGAUCAGCAUUGCUGCGGUGAAUACGUUCCCGGGCCUUGUACACACCGCCCGUCACGUCACGAAAGUCGGUAACACCCGAAGCCGGUGGCCCAACC